rnacentral:rRNA from 1 species
GACGAACGCUGGCGGCGUGCUUAACACAUGCAAGUCGAACGGACAGACAGAGAGCUUGCUCUCUUGAAGUUAGUGGCGAACGGGUGAGUAACGCGUAAUCAACCUGCCCUUCAGAGGGGGAUAACAACGGGAAACCGUUGCUAAUACCGCGUACGAUUCAUAAGCGGCAUCGCUUGUGAAUGAAAGGUGGCCUCUAUAUAUAAGCUAUCGCUGAAGGAGGGGAUUGCGUCUGAUUAGCUAGUUGGAGGGGUAACGGCCCACCAAGGCAAUGAUCAGUAGCCGGUCUGAGAGGAUGAACGGCCACAUUGGGACUGAGACACGGCCCAAACUCCUACGGGAGGCAGCAGUGGGGAAUCUUCCGCAAUGGACGAAAGUCUGACGGAGCAACGCCCGCGUGAGUGAUGAAGGUCUUCGGAUUGUAAAGCUCUGUUAAUCGGGACGAAAGAGUUCUGUGUGAAUAAUGCAGAAAAGUGACGGACCGGAAUAGAAAGCCACG